CGCGGGAUAGAGCAGUUGGUAGCUCGUCGGGCUCAUAACCCGGAGGUCAGAGGUUCAAGUCCUCUUCCCGCAACCA
rnacentral:tRNA from 1 species